UUAUAGUCAGGUUAUAGUCAGGUUAUGGUCAGGUUAUGGUCAGAUUAUGGUCAGGUUAUGCUGAGAUUAUAGUCAGGUUAUGGUCACGUUAUGGUCAGGUUACGGUCAGGUUAUGGUCAUAUUAUGGUCAGGUUAUGGUCAUUAUGGUCAGGUUACGGUCGUGUUAUAGUCAUUUUAUGGUCAGAUUAUGGUCAGUUACGGUCAGAUUACAGUCAGGUUAUGGUCAGGUUACGGUCAGAUUAUAGUCAGGUUAUGGUGAGAUUAUAGUCAUAUUAUGGUCAGAUUAUGGUCAGGUUAUGGUCGUUACGGUCAGGUUAUGGUCAGGUUAUGGUCAGGUUAUGGUCAGGUUAUGGUCGUUACGGUCAGGUUAUGGUCAGGUUAUGGUCAGAUUACGGUCGUGUUAUAGUCAGGUUAUGGUCGUUACGGUCAGGUUACUGUCAGGUUAUGGUCAGGUUAUGGUCAGGUUAUGGUCAGGUUACGGUCAUGUUAUAGUCAGGUUAUGGUCGUUACGGUCAGGUUACGGCCAGAUUACAGUCAGGUUACGGUCGUGUUAUAGUCAGGUUAUGGUGAGAUUAUGGUCAGAUUAUGGUCAGAUUAUGGUCAGAUUACAGUCAGGUUAUGGUCAGGUUAUGGUCGUUACGGUCAGGUUAUGGUCAGGUUACGGUCAGGUUACGGUCGUGUUAUAGUCAGGUUAUGGUGAGAUUAUGGUCAGAUUAUGGUCAGG
ensembl:lncRNA